rnacentral:rRNA from 1 species
AUUGAACGCUGGCGGUAGGCUUAACACAUGCAAGUCGAGCGAGCGGCGGACGGGUGAGUAAUGUCUGGGACACUGCCUGAUGGAGGGGGAUACCUCCUGGAACCGGUAGCUAAUACCGCAUACCAUCAGCUUUGCCCCAUUGGGAUUGGCUAGUAGGUGGGGUAAUGGCUCACCUAGGCGACGAUCCCUCGCUGGUCUGAGAGGAUGACCAGCCACACUGGAACUGGGACACGGUCCAGACUCCUACGGGAGGCAGCAGUGGGGAAUAUUGCACAAUGGGCGCAAGCCGGAUGCAGCCAUGCCGCGUGUGUGAAGAAGGCCUUCGGGUUGUAAAGCACUUUCAGCGAGGAGGCGUUACUCGCAGAAGAAGCACCGGCUAACUCCGUGCCAGCAGCCGCGGUAAUAC